AUGAAGAGCUUGGCUGCUGUUCUCCUCGUAGGGAGCCUGCUCCAGCUCGCCGGCUGCAGCCCUCCACCGGACCCGGUGACCUGCACGGAUGGCACGUCCAACUGCACGGUCACCAACACGUACGGCUCCUUCACGGACCGCACCAUCUGCCACGCGGCCAACGUCGUCUACCCGAGCACCGAGCAGGAGCUGGUCGCGGCCGUGGCGGCCGCCGCGUCGGCCAAACGCAAGAUGAAGGUGGCCACCAAGCACUCGCACAGCGGCCCCAAGCUGGCGUGCCCCGGCGGCAGCGAGGGCACGAUCAUAAGCACCACACGGCUGAACCGGACGGUUUCCAUCGACGCCGAGAGGCAGCUCAUCACGGUGGAGAGCGGCAUGGUCCUCCGGGACCUGAUCCAGGCCGCCGCCGCAGCAGGGCUGUCCUUGCCGCACUCGCCGUACUGGUACGGCCUGACCAUCGGCGGGCUCCUCGCGACGGGCGCGCACGGGAGCGGGCUGUGGGGCAAGGGAGGCGCCGUGCACGAGUACGUGGUCGGUCUGAGGAUCGUGACGCCGGCGCCGGCGUGCGAUGGUUUCGCCAUGGUGAGGGAGCUAGGCGCCGAUCACCCGGACCUGGACGCCGCCAAGGUCUCCCUUGGGGUCCUCGGCGUCGUCUCCCAGGUGACU
rnacentral:rRNA from 1 species